rnacentral:rRNA from 1 species
CAGUAGCCGCGGUAAUACGGAGGAUCCAAGCGUUAUCCGGAAUCAUUGGGUUUAAAGGGUCCGUAGGCGGUCUUGUAAGUCAGUGGUGAAAGCCCAUCGCUCAACGGUGGAACGGCCAUUGAUACUGCAGGACUUGAAUUAUUGGGAAGUAACUAGAAUAUGUAGUGUAGCGGUGAAAUGCUUAGAGAUUACAUGGAAUACCAAUUGCGAAGGCAGGUUACUACCAAUUGAUUGACGCUGAUGGACGAAAGCGUGGGUAGCGAACAGGAUUAGAUACCCGAGUAGUCCCUGUCUCUUAUAC